rnacentral:rRNA from 1 species
UACGGAGGGUGCAAGCGUUGUCCGGAUUUAUUGGGUUUAAAGGGUGCGUAGGUGGCUUUUUAAGUCAGUGGUGAAAGCCUGCAGCUUAACUGUAGGACUGCCAUUGAUACUGAGAAGCUUGAGUACUGAUGAGGUAGGCGGAAUUGAUAGUGUAGCGGUGAAAUGCAUAGAUAUUAUCAAGAACACCGAUUGCGAAGGCAGCUUACUAAGGAGUUACUGACACUGAGGCACGAAAGCGUGGGGAUCAAACAGG